rnacentral:rRNA from 1 species
AUGCUGGGGUUCCUUUAUUCCUGGCCCCUUGAGUUUCUCCCGAGGAAAGCCCCCUCCCCACGCUUCAUCUCCACCAUGAAAUUCGGUCAAGACAUUCCCGACAACCGCGGGGGUAACUAUAAAUACCCUGUGUGGGACUGCCGCCAUGGUCGCGUUCUCCUUCGGCAGAAUUGGGCGCCCACGCACCUUGUUGUUUGGGACCCAAUGACGGGUCGCCAAAGAAAGCUAAAAGUGCCCACGUCGAUGGGCUACGCCGAUGGGGCCACUGCACUCUUUUGUGCAGCGAGCGGCUGUGACCAUCGCGCGUGUCAUGCAGGGCCCUUCCAAGUGGUAUUCUUGGGCCUUGACAUGACAGAUGAUGACAAUUGUGUUGCACACGCACGUGUGUCCUCGCCGGUGACAGGUGACUGGAGCAAGUCGUGCUCUGAUGUUGAGUGGAGCGAUAUGUGCUCUAGUCUACAACUUGCACCUGAUGCACUCAUCGACUCAAUGCCAUCCAUCCUUGUUGAAAACGCACUUCACUUCAUGCUUACACAUGAUGAGGAUGAUAGUGUAGAAAUUCUCAAAUAUGACUUGAGCUCUAAUUGCUUAUCGUUGAUUGAUGCACCAUUGUCGGGGAUUGUAAUUAGCAGUUCCACUAUCCUCAUGGCGAUGGAGGAUGGAAGUUGGGGUUUGCGCAUGUGGACACAGUAA